rnacentral:rRNA from 1 species
UACGGGAGGCAGCAGUGGGGAAUAUUGCACAAUGGGCGAAAGCCUGAUGCAGCUAUGCCGCGUGUAUGAAGAAGGCCUUAGGGUUGUAAAGUACUUUUCAUCGGGGAGGAAAAAACAAAACUAAUAAUUUUAUUUCUUGACGUUACCCGAAAAAGAAGCACCGGCUAACUCCGUGCCAGCAGCCGCGGUAAUACGGAGGGUGCUAGCGUUAAUCAGAAUUACUGGGCGUAAAGAGCACGUAGGUGGUUUUUUUAAAGUCAGAUGUGAAAUCCCUGGGCUUAACCUAGGAACUGCAUUUUGAAACUGAAAUACUAGAGUAUCGUAGAGGGAGGUAGAAUUCUAGGUGUAGCGGUGAAAUGCGUAGAUAUCUGGAGGAAUACCUGUGGCGAAAGCGGCCUCCUAAACGAAUACUGACACUGAGGUGCGAAAGCGUGGGGAGCAAACAGGGAUUAGAUACCCGU